GCCCUGACAGUCCCAAGCACACCCUGCAAAAUGACAUCGGGAGCCUGGGGUGGUGAGUUUGUUUCACAGGGAAAAGUGCUGGUGUUCAUGUUCAUGGGCCUGUGGCCGUGAGUCUGCGGCCACCUCCAAAAUGUCCGAAUGGCGAAGGAUGCGUCCCAGACCCAACGGGCCACGACCUUGAACAUGUGCUGUCCUGACAUUCCCAAGCACACCCUGCAAACUGACAUCAGGAACCUGGGGUGGCUCGUUGCUGUCCAAAUCCUCCACCUGAGACCAUCCUCAGGAGACUGCCUUCACCUGCAGCCAGCUGGGUCCAUGACAGAUGAACCAUGGUGCCAGCUGAGGUCACUCUGAGAGGAUCAGGCUGAAGAAAAAGAAUGCAGGCUGCCACGCUGACACCCUGAACUGAGGGUAACCUCUGGCAGGGGAAGGGGAGCAGGGACAGCCUCUGACCUCUCCACCCACCUCAGCAGCUGUCCCAGCAGUACCUCUGACUGCCUGACUCCUUUUGCCUGGCUGUGAACUGGAGUAGUGUCCCCUCACCCCAAGAGUUCUUUGUGCUGCUUGGGCAUGUGGUAUUGAGGGAAAGCAGGAGAAAAAGCAGAGAGACUGAUGCAAGGAGCAGAAAUCAUACCCCGAGGCACAGAUGCAGG